AUUUGUCAAAAUUUCACAACACAAGAAUACACACACACCAGCUAUCAUCACGCCACCAUAUCACUUGCCAGCAUCAAAUCAUCACAAUCUUGUCUCAACUAAAAAACACGCCAAAUCUUGCUUACACCCUUUUCAUAUUUCUUCAAUUUAGGCAAGUUUUUGCUGAAAAGGUUGAAACUUUCCAUCUGGGUAUUAGAAAUCUUUAAUCUUUUUUGGAAAGAAAUUUCAUACAUAUUUACAAAGUGUCCAUUAUGACAUUUGAAUCAUCUUUGACUCAAGAUUCAGUGACUGAAAAGAAGAAAUUGCAAUUGGAUUACCUUUCCCCUGAAUCAUCUUUGACCCAGGUUGAUAGUGAUUCGGAAUCUACUUCAGCUUCAUCAUCAAUGCAAAGUUCCGUAUCAAGUGCAACAUCUUCAAUUGAUCAUGGUAGCAGUAAUGUCAAUGAUGGAACCCAACAAAAGAAAACGCUGAACAACUCAUUUUCAAAAAAGUUCGCCACUUUUGGGAGCUUCAUGUCAUAUAGGAGGCGGACACAAUCAAAGCUCAGUCAAACGUCAAUUAAGUUGUCAGAUGAUGGUUCAACUACAUCUCCACAAUCUUCAUCCAUUGAAGUAUCAGAUGAAUCAUCUAAUUAUGUUGAGAAACCUAUGCCAAAGUUCACAAGGAAUGGUAGUCUGAGGUCUGUCAAGAUCCUUAGGAGCAAAAGCAAGAACAAGUCUACUCUCAAAUCCAAAAAAUCAUCAAUAAAAAAAAAUUCAGAAGCUUCAGGGGAAUCGCAUUCAGAAAGAGCCACUUUUUCAUCAAUUCUCAAGGACUCAAAGUUCCCUGAACAACUUAAACAUCAGCCCGGACCAUCAGAACCAGAAGAAGUACUUCCAAUAGCAAAACUUUGUCCAUACCAACACUGUUCUCUUCAUGGUCAUCAUCAUCAUCAUGAGCCUCCACAAAAGCGGUUUGAGUACCUAAAACGACGCACUACAAAGGAGCAAAAGAUCAUAAAGCCCAAAAGUCAACCCAUGGAUAAAAGUUCUAUCAAGAAACGAGAAGUCAAAGGAAUGAAAAAGGUUUCUAAUAAUGACGAUUUCUCUAUAGAAUUUUAUGCUAAACCAAGAUCAGAACCGCUUUCGAGUCAUGAUCAUGAUGAUGCUGAGUUUGCUGAUAUCUUAUUUGGGGUCAACAGCUUUCAAGAGAUAAAGAAUGAGGUAUCCAUCUCAAACAAUCAUGAUUUUAAUGAAUUCAAUUAUAAGAAAGAUGAAAAUUCGAAUGGGUCGACGAGUGUUCUUGAAAAUAAGCAAUCUUUAAAGAAAACGAACCAAAUAAGCAUGUGGCAUAUGAUCCAUCAGCAUAUGGUAACUGGUCUUGCAGCAGAAUCAGGGGAACCGAUACUUCAAGAAGUAGAUGAAGAAAAGAAAGCACAAACUAAAGAUUUUGAUGAUGCCACGAGUCAAGAAAGUGAAAUCCGAAAGAUGUUUGCAAUUAAACUUGUAAGAGAUGCAAUUGAGAAGAUUCUUCUUCCAGAAGUGCAAGAUGAUCAAUCCACUACAAGUGAGGUUAUAUCAGAACAAGAUUUAUCAGAAAAUAAUCAAAAUGGAGGGGAAAUAACGACUGAUCAGAAAGAGACAGCCCAGGUGACUGCUGCUCAAGUACGUGCAACAAAAACGGAAAAAGGAACACCUAAUAGAUGGAGUUACCUAAAGAAAGUUAUUCUUUUGACGAAGUUUGUCAAAGAACUAGAAAAGGUGAAGAAGUUUAAUCCGAAAAAGCCUAGACAUCUUCCGGUGGCACCUGAAGCAGAAAACGAAACGGUUUCUCUCCGACGUCAAACAACUGGUGACAAGAAAAAUUCCGAUGAAUGGAUGCUAGAUUAUGCUCUUCAAAAGGUUGUGGGUGAACUAGCCCCAACUCAAAAACGUAAAGUAGCUUUGCUCGUGAAAGCUUUUGAAACCGUGGCUCCUGCCCAAGAUGAUCCACAAGAAUCAGGAUCGAAUAGUGAAAUUCAAAGUGUUGGUUCUGAGUCGAAAAGUAAAUUCCAAGGCAUAAUGCAACCGACUUGUGUAGAUUCGAAGGCGGGUGCCGAGAUAAAAAUGACUCCCCCUGUUGUACCAAGUUCCUUUGCUGAGAAGAAUAAAGAAUCAAAGUCUGAUUUGGAGAAAGAAAAACAUAUCAAGAUGUGGCAUAUGAUAUAUCAACAUGUGGCAAAAGAUAUUGUUACGAGAGUUGGAUCUGAGUUACUUCUUGAUGGAGAAGAAUCGACAAAUGGUGAAGAGAAGAAUUUGCAAGAAGUUGAAGAUCAAACCGAAAGAAAUUACAGACUGCAGUUCACCCAAAGUGAUGCUUUUAAGCUUGUUCAAGAAUCGGUUGAUGAAAUACUUCUGCCAGAUGUUCCCGACAAUUCUUCACAAGACACUCAGUCGGUUGCAAGUGACAUAGCCUCGGAUCAAGGCGACGAAGAAGAACCCAAAAAGAUCGAAAAGGAUUUAGUUACUGAUGAAAAUAAGGUGGUCUCAGCAGUUACAAGAUUACAGCAACAAAAGUCACAGAAUUGGAGCAAAUUGAAAAAAUUGAUCUUACUAAAACGCUCGAUAAAGGCAUUAGAAGGCUUUAGGCAACUUAAACCUCAAACCCCACAACGAGAAAUCGUGAAAAGUGAUCGAGAAGAAGAUAAAGUUGAUUUAAGGCGUCAAAUGAUUGAUGAGAGGAAGAAAGCAGAACAAUGGAUGCUCGAUUAUGCAGUUCAACAUAUCGUGACUAAGUUAACUCCUGCUCGUAAGAAGAGAGUCUCCAUGCUCGUUGAAGCUUUCGAAGCAGUUGUUCCAUUUCCUGAAAUCUGAUACUACAAUGCCAAAGUCAAUAUUUCUUGAAUUAAAGGUAUGGAAUAUGGACUCCUUGCAGUUUGUUAUUAAGGGAUUGUUAAAGACAAACAAGCAUACAAGUUGCAUAUUCAAGGCUAUGAAAAUGAGCUAUGGACAAACCUCAUAAGGGCUUUCCCAACCCACACCUCUUUCUCACUUUUUUCUCACUGCCACGUCAGUGUCACAUCAUCUCUUUCUCAUUUCAUAUUUCAGAAAAUAUCCUUACCAACCCUACUUCUUUCUCACUUCUUUCUCAAAUAUUUUAUUAUUUUUUACUAAAAAAAGAAA